rnacentral:rRNA from 1 species
AUUGAACGCUGGCGGCAGGCCUAACACAUGCAAGUCGAACGAGUGGCGGACGGGUGAGUAAUGUCUGGGCAACUGCCUGCUGAAGGGGGAUAACUACUGGAAACGGUAGCUAAUACCGCAUACCAUCGAAUGUGCCCAGAGGGGAUUAGCUAGUAGGGGGGGUAAUGGCUCACCUAGGCGACGAUCCCUAGCUGGGCUGAGAGGAUGACCAGCCACACUGGAACUGAGACACGGGCCAGACUCCUACGGUAGGCAGCAGUGGGGAAUAUUGGACAAUGGGCGAAAGCCUGAUGCAGCCAGGCCGGGUGUAUGAAGAAGGCCUUCGGGUUGGAAAGUACUUUCAGCGAGGAGGCGUUACUCGCAGAAGAAGCACCGGCUAACUCCGUGCCAGCAGCCGCGGUAAUUC